ACGAACGCUGGCGGCGUGCCUAAUACAUGCAAGUAGAACGCUGAAGAGAGGAGCUUGCUCUUCUUGGAUGAGUUGCGAACGGGUGAGUAACGCGUAGGUAACCUGCCUUGUAGCGGGGGAUAACUAUUGGAAACGAUAGCUAAUACCGCAUAACAAUGGAUGACCCAUGUCAUUUAUUUGAAAGGGGCAAAUGCUCCACUACAAGAUGGACCUGCGUUGUAUUAGCUAGUAGGUGAGGUAACGGCUCACCUAGGCGACGAUACAUAGCCGACCUGAGAGGGUGAUCGACCACACUGGGACUGAGACACGGCCCAGACUCCUACGGGAGGCAGCAGUAGGGAAUCUUCGGCAAUGGGGGCAACCCUGACCGAGCAACGCCGCGUGAGUGAAGAAGGUUUUCGGAUCGUAAAGCUCUGUUGUAAGUCAAGAACGAGUGUGAGAGUGGAAAGUUCACACUGUGACGGUAGCUUACCAGAAAGGGACGGCUAACUACGUGCCAGCAGCCGCGGUAAUACGUAGGUCCCGAGCGUUGUCCGGAUUUAUUGGGCGUAAAGCGAGCGCAGGCGGUUUGAUAAGUCUGAAGUUAAAGGCUGUGGCUCAACCAUAGUUCGCUUUGGAAACUGUCAAACUUGAGUGCAGAAGGGGAGAGUGGAAUUCCAUGUGUAGCGGUGAAAUGCGUAGAUAUAUGGAGGAACACCGGUGGCGAAAGCGGCUCUCUGGUCUGUAACUGACGCUGAGGCUCGAAAGCGUGGGGAGCGAACAGGAUUAGAUACCCUGGUAGUCCACGCCGUAAACGAUGAGUGCUAGGUGUUGGAUCCUUUCCGGGAUUCAGUGCCGCAGCUAACGCAUUAAGCACUCCGCCUGGGGAGUACGACCGCAAGGUUGAAACUCAAAGGAAUUGACGGGGGCCCGCACAAGCGGUGGAGCAUGUGGUUUAAUUCGAAGCAACGCGAAGAACCUUACCAGGUCUUGACAUCCCGAUGCUAUUUCUAGAGAUAGAAAGUUACUUCGGUACAUCGGUGACAGGUGGUGCAUGGUUGUCGUCAGCUCGUGUCGUGAGAUGUUGGGUUAAGUCCCGCAACGAGCGCAACCCCUAUUGUUAGUUGCCAUCAUUCAGUUGGGCACUCUAGCGAGACUGCCGGUAAUAAACCGGAGGAAGGUGGGGAUGACGUCAAAUCAUCAUGCCCCUUAUGACCUGGGCUACACACGUGCUACAAUGGUUGGUACAACGAGUUGCGAGUCGGUGACGGCAAGCUAAUCUCUUAAAGCCAAUCUCAGUUCGGAUUGUAGGCUGCAACUCGCCUACAUGAAGUCGGAAUCGCUAGUAAUCGCGGAUCAGCACGCCGCGGUGAAUACGUUCCCGGGCCUUGUACACACCGCCCGUCACACCACGAGAGUUUGUAACACCCGAAGUCGGUGAGGUAACCUUUUGGAGCCAGCCGCCUAAGGUGGGAUAGAUGAUUGGGGUG
rnacentral:rRNA from 1 species